UACGGAGGGUGCAAGCGUUAUCCGGAUUCACUGGGUUUAAAGGGUGCGUAGGUGGGUUGGUAAGUCAGUGGUGAAAUCUCCGUGCUUAACAUGGAAACUGCCGUUGAUACUAUCAUUCUUGAAUAUCGUGGAGGUAAGCGGAAUAUGUCAUGUAGCGGUGAAAUGCUUAGAUAUGACAUAGAACACCGAUUGCGAAGGCAGCUUGCUACACGAUCAUUGACACUGAGGCACGAAAGCGUGGGGAUCAAACAGG
rnacentral:rRNA from 1 species